GACGGGGGAUGCAAGUGUUAUCCGGAAUCACUGGGCGUAAAGCGUCUGUAGGUGGUCAAAUAAGUCAACUGUUAAAUCUUGAGGCUCAACCUCAAAAUCGCAGUCGAAACUAUUAGACUAGAGUAUAGUAGGGGUAAAGGGAAUUUCCAGUGGAGCGGUGAAAUGCGUAGAUAUUGGAAAGAACACCGAUGGCGAAGGCACUUUACUGGGCUAUUACUAACACUCAGAGACGAAAGCUAGGGGAGCAAAUGGG
rnacentral:rRNA from 1 species